AAAACUAAACAUGGGUAUGGUAUGGAACUGAUGCAGAAGCAGAUGUGAAAGUAUUUGACAUGGAAUUAGGAAAUCAAAUUUAAGACAGCCGUAGUUGGUGCCCAGUUGAUACAGCAUCUGGCGCUAAUUAAGCUGUCAAUGGAAUUCAGAAUACAGCUUCACCUCAAAAGGAAGGGGGGGAAAUAGAAUCCAAAUACAACGGCGAAAAUAUCACUCUGGCCUCUGAUUUGUCAGGUGACUCUGUUUGAUGCCUCAAGCAACUUUCAUCCUUCAAAU
rnacentral:lncRNA from 1 species